ensembl:lncRNA novel transcript
CUUGCCUGCUCAGGCCAGCACUUCCCAUGAUCUGAGAUGUCCGUCCUCCUUCCUCUUCAACUUUUUCUCCAGCAGUGAGUUCCUCCUCCUAACUCAGGCUUCCAGGAAGGAUAUCCUUGGCUUCUCAGACCUGAACCUGCCUCGAAUACUCAUGAGGACCCAGGAGCUACUCCUCACCUCCCACUUCUCUUCUAUCCUGUCAGAUAACCAAGGCACGGCCAACUGAUCCUCCACCAUCCGAGGAACCCGAUCGUGUGGGAACCGCUGAGCAGCACAUCCUCCCCCAGCAGGAAAUCCGGGACACGCAGGAGCCUCAGUGAAUCCGACCAUUGUCUCAUCUCACCAGGC